ACGCACGCUGGCGGCGUGCUUCACCCCUGCCAGUCGCACGGAAAGGCCCUGCUUUUGUGGGGUGCUCGAGUGGCGAACGGGUGAGUAACACGUGAGUAACCUGCCCUUGACUUUGGGAUAACUUCAGGAAACUGGGGCUAAUACCGGAUAGGAGCUCCUGCUGCAUGGUGGGGGUUGGAAAGUUUCGGCGGUUGGGGAUGGACUCGCGGCUUAUCAGCUUGUUGGUGGGGUAGUGGCUUACCAAGGCUUUGACGGGUAGCCGGCCUGAGAGGGUGACCGGCCACAUUGGGACUGAGAUACGGCCCGGACUCCUACGGGAGGCAGCAGUGGGGAAUAUUGCACAAUGGGCGGAAGCCUGAUGCAGCAACGCCGCGUGCGGGAUGACGGCCUUCGGGUUGUAAACCGCUUUCGCCUGUGACGAAGCGUGAGUGACGGUAAUGGGUAAAGAAGCACCGGCUAACUACGUG
rnacentral:rRNA from 1 species